UACGUAGGUGGCAAGCGUUGUCCGGAUUUAUUGGGUUUAAAGGGUGCGUAGGCGGCUUUGUAAGUCAGUGGUGAAAUAUGGCAGCUCAACUGUCAAGGUGCCAUUGAUACUGCGGAGCUUGAGUACAGAUGAGGUAGGCGGAAUUGACGGUGUAGCGGUGAAAUGCUUAGAUAUCGUCAAGAACACCCAUAGCGAAGGCAGCUUACUAGGCUGUAACUGACGCUGAGGCACGAAAGUGUGGGGAUCAAACAGG
rnacentral:rRNA from 1 species